rnacentral:lncRNA from 1 species
CUAAAUUCGUGUUUGUUUUCUUGAAGGUUUUUGCCAACAAAGACAAACAGGGAGAUGAAGAUGAAACACAGAGACAUAAAAGAGUCGCUUAGGGAAAUGAUAAAGAGAAGAGAGAAGGCAAUUAAAGCAGGGGAAGAGAGCAAUGAGGACUUGUUGGACAUACUUGUGGAAUCCAAUAUCAGAGAAAUGGAAGCAAAGAAUAUGGGGAUGAGCAUUGAGGAUGUGAUUGAGGAAUGCAAGCUGUUUUACUUUGCUGGCCAAGAGACCACUUCGGUCUUACUGGUGUGGACUAUGGUUUUAUUAGCAAGGUAUCCCGAUUGGCAAAGUAAAGCAAGAGAGGAGGUUUUGCAUGUUUUGGGUGACAGUAAACCUGAUGCUGAUGGCCUUAAUCGUCUCAAAGUUGUAAGUCCCUAGCAUGUCUUUUGAAGGUCCGAUCAAUGAGGUCGACAACUCAAAAACUUGGUUUUUUUUGUUUCGCUAAUUCUACAGGUAACAAUGAUAUUGUACGAGGUUCUAAGGUUGUACCCACCAGUGGUUGAGCUAGGACGUUCCGUUCCAAAAGAAAUAAAACUGGGGAAUUUGUUGUUACCAGCAGGAGCAGAAGUUUCGGUUCCGAUCCUGCAGAUCCACCAUGACAAAGAUCUUUGGGGUGACGACGCACGGGAAUUUAAGCCAGAGCGGUUGGCGGAAGGGGUUUCCAAAGCAACAAAGAGUCAAGUCACGUUUCUGCCAUUCGGAUGGGGUCCUAGGAUCUGUAUUGGCCAAAAUUUUGCCAUGAUGGAAGCCAAAAUGGCGAUGGCUAUGAUUCUCCAACGCUUCUGGUUCGAGCUUUCCCCUUCCUAUGCUCACUCUCCUUACAGCAGGGCAACUCUUCGUCCACAGCAUGGUGCACAGAUAGUUUUACAUAAACUUGGCUCUAAUUGAAUUGUUAUGUAAACAGAUCUUUUUGAAAAUAUAGCGUUUUAGUGUAUCGUCAAAGUCCGGUGUCUGUAAUGGUACAAUUCCGAUGCAUGAAUAGUAAAUUUUAAGAUGUUUGGUUAAGUCCGAAAUAAUAUGCAGAAAUUGAGUGUCUUGAAUGGAUGUAGUAUUUAAUGGUGGACAUAGUUGAGGGAUUAAUGUGGUAAUUAUCGAACAAAUAAUUGCAUAUGGUACAAAGACUUAUAUGGAAAUUAGAGCGGGGGGAGUAGAAAAUGACUACUUUGCUUUGGGCAUCAAUUUAGAAAGAUUUAAAGUACAAAUGUAUUAUUAGUUUAAAGGAUUUGUUUUAAAGAAGGAAUGACAAUUAAACCUCAUGGUUGAUUUGUGGAAGGGAACCGAUGAUGGGAUGAUUAUUCUUAGUGGUAAAAAAAAAACUAUUAAGGAGGUUAUUAUACUUGUUAUCAAUUUCUCAAAAUUUGAAUGGGUUUAAGUCAGAUUAUAUCGAGCUUGUUAGAUGAGUUCACGGACCAAGCUUGCAUGAUAAUGGCUGCUUACAGAAAUGUAUCUAUAGUUUUCUACAAAGUCAUAUGUGAAAUUAUGCAUUGGUACCGCAUAAACAUGUUUUAUGUCUAGAAUAUUAUACGUGUCUAUGUGCAUGGAAUCUACCUAGUAUAUCAUAUCAAUGAACAGUAUCAAUGGUGGACCUCAAAAGUAUUUUUGGGGGAUCAGAAUUAAACUGUAUGUUUUUAUGAAAGUAAAAAUUUAAUUUCACUAUUUUAUAGUCAAUUUCUUUUUAAUUUUUGAAGGAUUAAAUCAAAUUUUUAUAAAUUUUUAGGAGGUUGAAGUACAAUUUUAUCAUUACUAAUUUAAAAUUUUAUAAAUUAUAAAAAAUAUAAAUAAAAAAUUUUAUAUUUUAGGAUAGCCAAGGCUCCUGCCAACUCUAACUCACUGAAUAGUAUAAAUAAAUAAAUACCAUCAUCUAAAAUAUGGGUAAGUGUCCAAAAUAUGAUUUUGGUGAAAAUAUGUAGGGUUGGUCUCAUGGAAGUGUAAAGACAAGAACCCCGCUAAUGUAUGGGAUGUGUAAAGUUGAAUCUAGGGAGCAAAUAGGAGUGAAUCAUUUUGGUAACAUUUGGACAAGAAACAUAAUGAACAAAAUGAAAGGAGAGGAAGCUAGUAAAAGAUUUUUUUGGGUCAUAUAAUUUGUUUGGCAUAUAUUUUUAUAAUUUUUAAAUAUCAUUUUGGAGUUGAAUUAUAACUUUUUUUUAUAUAUUAUCUUAAAAUUUUAUAAAAUUUAAGGAGUUAAAACGUAAUUAUUCCAUGGGUCAGAGCUGCCCUCGCUUUGCAUUUCUUUGAGAUUCAGCCUUAUCUCAAUUGAGGGUUGAGUAGAAAGAUUUGGUGGAGCAAGCAAAGCUAUCAAUCAAGGUUGGAGAAAGCUUAGGAGGUCACAAUGCAUAAUUAUUUAAAUGUAAUUCUAAUAUUUAAAUAAAAUUUAUUAAUAUAAUAUCAGCAAGUGUUAAAUAUAAUGAUCAGAUACCAUUAUAUUUUUAGAAAGAGAAAAUAUGUUUAAACCUUAAAAACGGCGUUACUAAAAAUAAUAAUCACAAAUCUUGAAAUAUAAAAAAUAAAUUUUUUAAUAUAAUUAAAAUUUAAUUUGAAAGCCGAGCUGGAUAAAAUUCUAAUUUUAGAUAAUGGUACCAACAACAAAUCAAUAUUUAAAUUAAAAUUAAUCUAAAUUUAAUAUAAUCAAAUUGGACUCUAAUAUUAAAUUUAAUAUAAUCAAGGUUCAUGAACUUUAUACCCUAUGCUUUACGUAAUUGAAAAAAAAAUCAUUGGACAUAAAAGUCUACGAAAAGUUUCACUAUAUUAAUAAAUAAAUAAAUAAAAAAUAUUGCUACAAGAUUACAACACAAAGUUACAAUAAGAGCUUAUAACUUAACAAAGGCUAUCAAUAAAUAAUCUCAAACAAACUAAAGAGAAAUAUUGAGAGUCCCACCAAAUAGUGAUUGCCUUUAAAAGUUAAAAACUCGAAGUUAUAGUAUCUCAAAUGAAAUUAAACCAUGAACAUUAAAUUUUUCGAGUCUACUAGCUACUGUAAAAAAUUGAGCUCCAACGGACAACAAAUGAACCUUUGAUCGAAGAAAAUACGAAAAUUAGUCUCGGUAAAUCAAGCUGCCAAACUUACUUUUUAUCUUAUCUUUAAUUUGUAAUAAAAUUCAAAAUUAAGGUUUUGUUUGUUUCACUUAGAACAACUUUCAAAAAAUUAAUUUUGGAAAAUGGAUUGAUUUUUCGAAAUAGAUGAUAUUUUAUUGUGUAAAAAUUUUAUUUGUUGUUUGAUGAACUUUUUUUUAAAUCAUUUUUUUAGAAUUAUUUUUAGUGAAACAAAUAUAUCAUAAAUAUAUUUGUUACAAAAUAUUAUAUUAGUAUUUUCUUUUGACAAUUAAAGUUUAUUUUAUGAUAAGACAAUAUUUUAUAAUAAUUAAUAUCAUAUAUACUUAAUAAUAAAUCAUGUCUAAUUAAAAUUUAAGUUAAAUUAAAUAUAUUAAUAAAGCUACAUAUAAUCAUAUUUUAUAUAAUUAAAAUAUUAAUAUAAAUAUUUUUCAAUAAGAUAUUAAAGAAUAUUUAAAAUUUAAAUUUAUUAUUACUAAAAUUAAUUAUUAAAAUAAAAAUGUAAUAUUAAAUAAUUUAUCUAAUGAUAAGUUAUAUUAAUAAUUUAUUAUAUCAUUAAAUAAAAAUAAUUAAAUAUGUAUGUUUAAUAAUAUUAUGUUAUAAUAUUCAUUAUUAAUAUCUUAAUAUUCUUAAACAGCCGUGUCUCAAAGAUGGUUGUGAUGGUGAUGUGAUGAUGCAGCCCCCCUUCUUACAAUUACAAUAAUUUUUAGUGCAAUAAUUAAAGUUGCUGAGUGGUAAAGUAAACUUCUUUUGACUGAGAUGCAUGUAAUAUAUGGAUGUUGAGGUUUUAGACUGCGCCAUCUUUAAAGGGGUUAAAUUAUAUAUUUAUAUAAUAUGAUUAUUGUUUAUGAAUAUAAUAUUAUAGAUAAGUUUUUAUACAUAUUAAUAUGUAUUUUAUUUUAAUGUUAAUAUGUAGUUUUUUAGAUGUGGAUUCACCUAUAUAAUGAUAUGAACUCAUUAUGCAGUCUCAUGAAAUAUGCAAACACAUAUAGUGUAAAUAUAAAGUAUGAACCACCAAAAGUACAGAUCAACACCUAAUUGAAUAAUUGGAUAACAGAUAGGUAAUAAUAAAUAUCAUUCACUAUCCCCUCUUGUUUUAAUUUAUUUUAUUUCCAGUGAGUUAUUUUUUUUAUGAUAAAUUUGCAACAAAUGUUUUUAUCAUUAUUUUGUUGGUAAAUGAUAAUAAGAUUAAAUUUACUUUCGUAAGCUCCUUCAAUUCUUUGGAGUUAGUGGUUUUUUAUUCUGAUCUUUUUUUCUUAUUAAAUUUUUUAUAAUAAAUGUGUUUAUAGAUGAGGUUAGAUUAUAAUUGAAUUAUUUUAUAGCAUUAACAUAAUUUAGAUGGAUUAAAAUUUAUUCUACUAAAAAUAUAAAUUUAAAAUUUUACUUCAAUUUAUCUUAAUUUAUAAAUGAUGAAUUUAAAUUUACUUUUUCCCCAUUAUAUUCAAUUUUCCACAUAAUAUUUGGCCUAGAACAAAAACUAGAACAAUAAAACAAAUAUAAACUAUGCUACAAAGAGUAUACAGCUACAGAAAGCUGAAAUGUUUUCCAAAAAUUAUAUUGUUAACUUUUAAAAAAAAUAUUUUAGCUAUUUAUCAUCAUGAAGAAAAAAGAUACAGUCAUGCACCUGGCCUCAUGCUUCAACACCUCAACCUAGAUUCUCAUCACCUGUAUUUAUCAUCGAUUCAGAUCUUUAUUUUUACUAUAUUCUAGAUCUCCCUAUAAAUAUAUCUUCAAACUUCCUUUGGUUAAGUUCAUUCAUAGAUGGGUGAGUAAACUUGAGCUUCAGCUUUCCACAAACACCUUAAUUUGAAGACACUGUUCUCUCAUGCUAAAAACCACAUGGACGUUUACCAUGUAAUUAGAGAGUUGGUUUCAUUGCUUGUUGUUGGGUUAUUAAUGAUAUGGGGAUGGAGAGCUUUAAACUGGGUAUGGCUGGCUCCAAAGAGGCUCGAAAGGUGCUUGAGACAACAGGGUUUAGCAGGGAAUUCUUACAGGUUCCUUUCUGGUGACAUAAAAGAGCUCUUCACUAUGAGCAGACAAACAAGAGCCAAACCUAUGCCUCUUAGUGAUGAUAUUGGGCCUUAUGUUGUUCCUUUUCAACAUCAAACUGUCAACCAGUAUGGUAUGUUUUUUUGUUUAAUCUGCAAUUUAUGAUAAUUCUUUUUUAUUUAUGUAUGGAAUUUAUUGGGAGGAAAUGCAGGAAAGAAUUCAUUUACGUGGUUUGGUCCAAGACCAAGGGUGAACAUUACGGACCCUGAAAAAAUAAAAGAAAUACUUAACAAAUUUAAUGACUUCCAGAAGGUACGUACCAAUCCACUUGUUCAUUUGCUUGUAAGCGGCCUUGUUAACCUCGAAGGAGACCGAUGGAGCAAGCAUAGAAAAAUCAUAAACCCUGCAUUUCAUCAAGAUAAGUUGAAGGUAUAGAAUAGUGAUGGGUACUCAGACUUUAAAGAAAACAUCAUACUUAAACCUAUGCUUUUCUGACUUAGAAAAUAAUUGGAUGCAGAAUAUGUUGCCAGCAUUUUAUCAAAGUUGUAGUGACAUGUCAAGCAAAUGGGAGAAGAUGGUGUGUACAGAAGGAUACUGUGAGUUAGAUGUGUGGCCUUAUCUCGUAGAUUUGACAAGAGAUGUGAUUUCCCGAUCUGCUUUUGGAAGCAGCUUCGAAGAAGGCAAACGAAUUUUCCAAUUACCAGAGGACCAACUCGUUCUCACAAUCAAAUUAAUACAAACUGUUUACAUUCCAGGAUGGAGGUAACCCUCAACUUAAUUUACUUGAAAAAGGUUGCAAAUGUUGGAAUUCGCUAAAAGCGUGUUUGUUUUCUUGAAGGUUUUUGCCAACAAAGACAAACGGGGAGAUGAAGAUGAAAUACAAAGACAUAAAAGAGUCGCUUAGGGAAAUGAUAAAGAGAAGAGAGAAGGCAAUUAAAGCAAGGGAAGAGAGCAAUGAGGACUUGUUGGACAUACUUGUGGAAUCCAAUAUCAGAGAAAUGGAAGCAAAGAAUAUGGGGAUGAGCAUUGAGGAUGUGAUUGAGGAAUGCAAGCUGUUUUACUUUGCUGGCCAAGGGACCACUUCGGUCUUGCUGGUGUGGACUAUGGUUUUAUUAGCAAGGCAUCCCGAUUGGCAAAGUAAAGCAAGAGACGAGGUUUUGCAUGUUUUGGGUGACAGUAAACCUGAUGCUGAUGGCCUUAAUCGUCUCAAAGUUGUAAGUCCCUAGCAUGUCUUUUGAAGGUCCGAUCAAUGAGGUCGACAACUCAAAAACUUGGUUUCUUUGUUUCGCUAAUUCUACAGGUAACAAUGAUAUUGUACGAGGUUCUAAGGUUGUACCCACCAGUGGUUGAGCUAGGACGUUCCGUUCCAAAAGAAAUAAAACUGGGAAAUUUGUUGUUACCAGCAGGAACAGACGUUUUGGUUCCAAUCCUGCAGAUCCACCAUGACAAAGAUCUUUGGGGCGACGACGCACGGGAAUUUAAGCCAGAGCGGUUCACGGAAGGAGUUUCCAAAGCAACAAAGAGUCAAGUCACGUUUCUGCCAUUCGGAUGGGGUCCUAGGAUCUGCAUUGGCCAAAACUUUGCCAUGAUGGAAGCCAAAAUGGCGAUGGCUAUGAUUCUCCAACGCUUCUGGUUCGAGCUUUCCCCUUCCUAUGCUCACUCUCCUUACAGCAUGGCAACUCUUCGUCCACAGCAUGGUGCACAGAUAAUUUUACAUAAACUUGGCUCUAAUUGAAUUGUUAUGUAAAUAAAUCUUUGUGAAAAUAUAUAGCUUGUUAGUGUAUCGUCAAAGUCCGGUGUCUGUAAUGGUACAAUUCCGAUGCAUGAAUAGUAAAUUUUGAGAUGUUUAGUGAAGUCCGAAAUAAUAUGCAGAAAUUGAGUGUCUUGAAUGGAUGUAGUAUUUAAUGGUGGACAUAGCUGGGGGACUAAUGUGGUAAUUAUCGAACAAAUAAUUGCAUAUGGUACAAAGACUUGUAUGGAAAUUAGAGCAGGGGGAGUAGAAAAUGACUACUUUGCUUUGGGCAUCAAUUUAGAAAGAUUUAAAGUACAAAUGUAUUAUUAGUUUAAGGGAUUUGUUUUAAAGAAGGAAUGACAAUUAAACCUUAUGAUUGAUUUGUGGAAAGGAAUCGAUGAUGGGAUGAUUACUUUUAGUGGUAAAAAAAACUAUUAAGGAGGUUAUUAUAUUUGUUAUCACCGGCCCAAAAUUUAAAUGUAGUCACGUCAAAUUAUAUCGAGCUCGCAAUAUGAGUUCACGGACCAAGUUUGCAUGAUAAUAGGUGUUCACAUAAAGGUAUUUAUAGUUUACUGCAAAGUCACAUGUGAGAUCGUGCAUUGGAACCGAAUAGACAUGUUUUAUGUUUAGAAUAUGAUACGUGUCUAUGUGCAUAGAAUCUACCUAGUAUAUCAUAUCAAUGAAUAGUAUCAAUUGCGGAGCCAAAAUUUUUUUGAGGGGUAAGAAUUAAAUUGUAUAUUUUUACUAAAAUAAAAAUUCAAUUUUACUAUUUUAAUAGUUUAUUUCUUUUUAAUUUUUAAAUGAUUAAAUCAAAUUUUUAUAAAUUUUUAGAGAUCAAAAUAUAAUUUUAUCAUUACUAAUUUAAAAUUUUAUAAAUUAUAAAGUAUUUAAAUAAAAAAAUUUCCUAUUUUAGGGUGACCAAGGUCCUGCCAACUUCCUACUCGAUCACUGAACAGUAUAAAUAAAUACCAUCAUCUAAAAUACUCAAGAAAAACACUCAAGGAUAAAUAGAGAGAUGUUGGGUAAGUGUCCAAAAUAUGAUUUAAGUGAAGAUACGUGUGGUAGGUGUCAUGGAAAUGUAAAGACAAGAAUCCCACUAAUGUAUGGGAUGUGUACACUUGAAUGUAGGGAGCAAAGAGGAGCGAAUCAUUGUGGUAACAUUUGGACAAGAAAUAAUGAACAAAAUGAAAGGAGAGGAAGCUAGUAAAAGAUUUUUUUGGGUCAUAUAAUUUGUUUGGUAUAUAUUUUUUUAAUUUUUAAAUAUCAUUUUGGAGUUGAAUUAUAGUUUCUUUUUAUGUUUUAAAACAUAAUUAUUUUAUUUUUAGAGUGUCAAAGUAGAGGUGAGCAUGGAUCAGACUACUCGGCUCGGCCGGAAGAUCUGUCUGAAAUGUGAGAGGUUUGAGCAAAAAUAUAGGCAAAAAAAAUGGGCUUGGACAAAAAAUAUAAGGCUCGUUUAGAAAAUGGGUCGGGCCUUGAGUAAGACAUUUUUGGCCUCGAGCCUGGCCCGGCUUGAAUUCACUAAAGGACAAAAAAAAUUAAUUUUUUAAAUAUUAUUUUCUUGUUAUUUUCUUCCUAUUUUGCUACCAUUGUACUAUUAUGUUACUACUAUUUUGUUGUUAUUGUUUGGAUAUUGUAUAAACCUUAUUUUAUUGUUAAUUUUGUUAUUAUUUUAAAGACAUUUGUUAAUUUUGUUAUUAUUUUAGAGACAUUUGCUUGUUAAGUUGCAUCUAUCUUAGUGUUAUUUAAGUAUACAUAUUUUUUAAAAUUUAUUUUCAAUUUGUUGGAAAAUAUUUAUUUUAUAUUUUUAGUAUUUUAGAUGUAUUAUAUAUAUUUUAAAAUUAUAUAAAAAUUAAUAUGGACAGGAGGGUCGAGCCCGAGUUUUAGCAUUUUUAUUCGGGUUAGGCUUGGACAAAAUUUUAAGCCCAUUUUUUGGGCCGAGCCUAACAAACAGUCUUGAAUUUUUAGUUGAGCUUGGCCCGGCCCAUGCUCACCUCUAGUUCAAAGCUGCCCUCGCUUUGCAUUUCUUUGAGAUUCAGUUUUAUCUACUGUUGAUUGGCCACUCAAUUGAGGGUUGAAUAGAAAGAUUUGGUGAAGCAAGCUAAGCUAUCAAUCAAGGUUGGAGAAAGCUUAGGAGAUCACAAUGCAUAAUUAUUUAAAUGUAAUUCUAAUAUUUAAAUAAAAUUUAUUAAUUUAGUAUUAACAAGCCUUAAAUGUAAUGAUCAUAUACUAUUACAUUUUCAAGAAGAAAAAAUAUGUUUGAACCUUAAAAACAACAUUAUUAAAAAUAAUAAUCACAAAUCUUAAAAUAUAAAAAAUAUAAUUAAAAAUUAAUUUUAAACUCGAGCUGUAACAGCCCAAAUUUCAGUGGUGUCGGAAUAGUGAUGUGAGAUCACUAAAUACGACAUGUGAGUUUAGAUAUUAGUAAGUAAAAGUUAAGUGUGAUUUUAGAAAUAUUUUUGAAUUAGUGAAAUUGUGAAUUAAAGAAAAUUUCUAGAUAAAAACGAGGUAUCGAGACCUCUAAUUCAUAAACCAAGCCAUAAAUAUUUUUAGAAAUAUUUAUGGAGUGUUACUAAGUUAGUAUUAAAGUUUUGUUAAGAGAUUUUAACAUUUCAGUAAUUAAUUGAAGAAAAAUGACUAAAUUGAAUAAAGUGUAAAACUAUCAAAUAUGAUUAAAUAGCUUAAGAGAUCAUUAAGGAAUGAGUUAAAAGGUAAAUAGACCCAAAUUAGGUGGGUUGGACGGCAUGAGUGUGCAGGAAAUGUAAAAAAAUCAAGUGUGAACAAAGGGCAAAAGUGAAAAUAGGGUAAAAUUUAAUUGUAAAAUAUGAUGUAGUUGGUAAUUUUAGAGAAUUCAUCAUUUUUCUUCAUCUUCAUCAGCUAAAAACACCAUUAGAGAGCUUUUAAGAAGCUGGUUUUAUAUUUUACAGCAUGUAAGUUCAAUUCUUGAUUAUUUAGUUCAAUUCUUGAUUAUUUCUUGUAAUUUUUGUGUUUUUUGAGACUUUUACAAUUGGGUCCUACUAUUUAACUUAUUAGUUUUUGCUUUUAUGAAUGGUUUAGAAAGUUUCCAUAAAUAAGAGCUGAAAUUUUAUGAUGAUUUAUUAUGGAAUUGGGACUGUAAGUUUAUUAUAUGAUGAUUUUAUGAAGAGAUUUUAUAAGAAUUGAUUUUUAGGACCUAAUUGUGAAAGUCGUUGUAAUUAGGGUUUUGUGUUAAAACUUUGAAUUUCAAAGGCUUGGAAGUAGUUAUAAUGUUUAGAUAAAAUGAUAUUUUAGAAUAAUUAGUUCAAUUGAUGAACAAAUUGAGCAAUGACUAAAUUGUAAAAAUUGAAAAGUUUGAGAAAAAAUGUAAUUUCAAAAAUUAAAGGGUAUAAAUUGUGAAGUAGAAUAGAAUUGAAAUAGAUGCUCAUGAGGGAAUGAUUUUAUAAUUACAGAUCAAGAAAACGAAGUGAAUCGUGGAAAGGAGAAAUUGCAAGAAUAUUCCCUGAAAUUUCUACGACUUUUGCAAAUCAGCCCAGUUAAGUUCAUAUGGAAAAAAUUAAUGUUUUGUUAUGAAAAUCUUAUGAUUUGAUAAGGUAUAUUAUUAUAGAUGAAUACUAUCAAAUUGUAAUAAUUAUGAAAUAAUAUUUAAGUAAAAGUACAAAUUAGUUGGAACAAUGGAUUUGAGUGCUUUCGUUCUGUGACCAUGAUGAAUUGAUGGAAAAGGUGUGAUAUGUGCGCCCGUAUAAGACCAUAGCUGGGCUAUGGCAUCGGUGCAAUGUGAUAUGUGCUCCUGUAUAAGACUAUAGUUGGGCUAUGGCAUCGGUGUGAUGUGAUAAUGUGCUUCUGUAAAAGACCAUAUUUGGGAUAUGGCAUCGGUAUGAUAUGUGACCCGUGUAAGACCAUAACUGGGCUAUGGCUUCGGUGUGUGAUAUGUGACUAUGUGCAAGUCUAUGGUUUUACCAUGGCAAUGUGAUAAUGAAGCACUCAAUUCCAUUAUUGUUUCCUAAUUUGACUAUGAAAGUAAAUGAGAAAUAGGCCCAAGAGAUCUAAAAUUGGUGAAUAGUGACAUUGAAAUCAAUCAAAUGAGUUUAUUAAUGAUUUGUGAUUUACAGGAAGGUUUAGUGAAAUUAAAUAUUAUAUGAUUGUGUGCAAUAUUCGGUAAGAUUUAUUUUUCUGUGCUUAUGAGCGUACUAAGCUUCAAUAAGCUUACUUGUGUAUGUUAUUUGUUUUGUAGAUUGACUUAUAUACAUACGGAGGAUUGGAUCUACAUCGAGGAUCACGCUAUCCAGAUUUAUUCUGGUAGAUUUUGUUAAACAACUUUUUGAUUUAUAUGGCAUGUAUAGGGUUGAUUUGAUAAUGUAAUAGUAUGAAUGAUUAAGUAUGUAAAGUAAAUUGAAUGCGAUGGUUGUGUUUGAUAAUGAAAUAUACAUGUUUUGGCUUGAAAUAGUUGAUUUGUUGGACUUUAUUAGUGUAUAAAUGUGAUUUUGUGCAGGAAAAUAUUAAAAGGGUGAGAAAAGAGGCAUUAAAUGACCUAUUUUCGUCCACACGAGUAGGCGCAGGACAUGUGUGACACACAACCUACUAUAUGGGCAUGUGAUAAGAUCGUGUGUCCCUUGCAACUUAAAAAUGAGAAUCAGAAUGUCCAGGUUUAGGCACAUGGCCUAACAUAAGGGCGUGUGGCUUGACCGUGUGACACACCCACGGGCUUUAACAUGGCCGUGUGAUACGGCUGUGUGAAGUCUGCACUUAAAAUGUGAAAUUUAAUUAUCACACGGCCUAGCAACACAGACGUGUGCUCAGGCUGUGUGACUCAAGUUUCUUCUUGAAUGCAAGUCAGAGAGCUCCACGGGCUUGGGACAUAGGCGUGCGUGACCACACAGCCUACCCACACGGGCGUGUCCCUAUCCACACGGGCGUGUGGCCCUGUUUCAUGAUAAUUUUUUUUAAAAUUUUCUAAAAGCUCUGAAAGUUCUUAGUUUGGUCCCGAUCUAUCUCCAACAUAUAUUUUGGGCCUCGUAGGCCCGUAUAAGGGACUUUAAGCAUGUGUUUGAAUAAUAGUUAAUUUGGAAUGAAGUUUUAUGAUCUGGUUUUGGGUGUUUAAUUGUGUUUAAGCCUGGUAAUACCUCGUACCCUGUUCCGGCGUAGAAUACGAGUAAGGGGUGUUACACAAGCUGGAUAAAAUUCUAAUUUUUGAUAAUGAUAGUAAUAACAAAUCAAUAUUUAAAUUAAAAUUAAAAUUAAUUUAGUAUAAUAUAAUUUUUGAGUUUUCGGCAAAGGCACUCAAUGAAUGCUUGGAAAGAAAUAAUGCAACUUAGUGAAAUAAUGCAACUUAGUGAUAGCUUUUGUUGGAGUUAUAUGCUGUUAUUAUAGUUUUAUGUUUUUAUCUUGCAAAAACAACAUAUUGGAGUUUUCGGUGGACUUUUAAGUUUCAUGAUUUUUUCCUAAUACUUUACGUGAAAAAAAUAAUGGUACUUAAAAAUCUAACAAAAGCUUCUCUAUAAUUUUUAUAAAAAAAACAUUGCUACAAUAUUACAACACAAAGUUACAAUAAUAGCUUAUAACUCAACAAAGGCUAUCAAUAAAUAAUCUCAAGCAAGUUAAAGAGAAAUGUUGAGAAUACCACCCAAAUAGUGACCGACUUUAAAAGUUGAAAACCCAAAGCUAUAGUAUCUCAAACGAAAUCAAACCAUAAAUAUUAAAAUUUUUCGAGUCUAUUAGCUACUGUAAAAAAAUUUAGCUCCAACAGACACCAAAUGAGCCUUUGAUUGAAGAAAAUACGAAAACUAGUCUAGGUAAACCAAGCUGCCAAACUUACUUAUCUUAUCUUUAAUCUGCCGUGAAAUUCAAAACUAAGUUUUUGUUUAUUUCACUUAGAACGACUUUCAAAAAAUUAUUUUUGAAAAAUGGAUUGAUUUUUUUGAAAUAGAUGAUAUUUUAUUGUGUUGAAACUUUAUUCGUUGUCUGAAAACUUUUUUUAAAUUAUUUUCUUAGAGUUAUUUUUAGUGAAAUAAACAUAACAUAAAUAUAUUUGUUAUAAAAAAUUAUAUUAGUAUUUUCUUUUGACAAUUAAAAUUUAUUUUAUGAUAAGACAAUAUUUUACAAUAAUUAAUAUCAUAUAUAUACGUAAUAAUAAAUCAUGUUUAAUUAAAAUUUAAUUUAAAUUAAAUAUAUUAAUAAAGCUACAUAUAAUCAUAUUUUAUAUAAUUAAAAUAUUAAUAUAAAUAUUUUUCAAUAAUAUAUUAAAAAUAUUAAAAUUUAAUAUUAUUAUUACUAAAAUUAAUUAUUAAAAUAAAAAAUGUAAUAUUAAAUAAUUUAUUGUAUUAUUAAAUAUAAAUAAUUAAAUAUGUAUUUUAUAAUAUUUUAAUAUUCUUAAACAGCCAUGUUUUAUAGAUGCUGGUGAUCGUGAUGGUGCAGGCCCUUCUUGUUAUAAUUACUAUAAUUUCUAGUGCAAUAAUUGAAGUUGUUGGGUGGUCAAGCAAACCUCUUUUUGACUGAAAUGCAUGUAAUAUACUGGGCGAAUCUAGAGGGGUUCGCGUGGUACCGGUCUCUCUAAAGUUUAAAAUUGUUAUUUAAAUUUUUAAUUUUUUUAAAAAAUUUUAAAUUUAAUAAAAGUAAAAUUAUAUUUUUAGCUCUUAAAAUUAUAAAAAUUAUAUUUAAUCCUUUAAAAGUUAUAAAUAUAUAGACUAAAAAAUUAAAAUUUCAUUCGGCUUAUUAAAAGAUUAUUCUGGCUUUGCUCUUGAUACCGAUGUUGAAUAUUUUAGAGUAUGUUUCUUUAACAUGGUUCAAUUAUAUAUUUAUAUAAUAUAAUUAUUGUUCAUGAAUGUGACAUCGUAACUAAGUUCAUAUGCAUGUCAACAUAUAUAUUAUUUUAGGGUUAAUACGUUUUUUUUAAAUGUGAGUUCACCUAUAUAAUGGUAUGAACCCGUCACGCGGUCUCAUGAAAUAUGCGAAUAUAUGUCGUGCGAACACAAAGUACGAACUACACAGAAUAAGGACUAAGACCCAAUUGGGUAAUCGGAUACGGAUCAGUAAUAAUGAAUUUCAUAACAGCCACCAUCCCCUCAUUUGUUCUAAUUUAUUUUAUUUCCAGUGAGUUAUUGUUUAUGAUAAUUCACAACAAAUGUUUUUGUCAUUAUUUUUUGGUAAAUAAUAAUAAGAUUAAACUCUACUUUCUUAAGCUCCUUCAAUUCUUUGGACGUUGGUGGUUUUUUAUUCUAAUCUUAUUUUCUUAUUAAUUUCUUUUUUAUAAUAAAUGUGUUUAUAGAUUAAAUUGGAUUAUAAUUGAGUCAUUGUAUGGAAUUAACAUAAUUCAUAUCGAUUAAAAUUUAUUCGACUGGAAAUACAAAUUUAAAAUUUUACUUCAAUUUAUCUUAAUUUAUAAAUGAUGAAUUUAAAUUUAUUUUUUUCUCUCAUUAUAUUCAGUUUUCCGGAUAAGAUUUGGCCCAGAACAAAAACUAUAACAAUAAAACAAAUAUAUAUGUUUUCCAAAAAUUAAAUUGUUAACUUUUAAAAAAAUAUUUUUAGCUAUUUCUCAUCAUUGAGAAUAAAAAUAAGGUCACCUCGCCUCAUGCUUCAACAACUCAACCUAGAUUCUCAUCACCUGUAUUUAUCAUCGAUUCAGAUUUUUAUUUUUACUAUAUUCAAGAACUACCUAUAAAUCUAUCUUCAAACUUCCUCUGGUUAAGUUCAUUCAUAGAUAGGUGAGUAAACUUGAGCUUCAGCUUCAACAAACACCAUAGUUUGAAGACACAAUUCUCUCAUACUAAAAAUAUGGAAGUUUACCAUGUAAUUAGAGAUUUGGUCUCAUUGCUUGUUGUUGGGUUAUUAAUGAUAUGGGGAUGGAGAACUUUAAACUGGGUAUGGUUGGCCCCAAAGAGGCUCGAAAGGUGCUUGAGACAACAGGGUUUUGCAGGGAAUACUUACAGGUUCCUUUCCGGUGACAUAAAACAGCUCUCAACUAUGGGCAGACAAACAAAAGCCAAACCUAUGCCUCUUAGUGAUGAUAUUGGGCCUUAUUGUUGGAGUUUCAACACACUUUAACCGGGUAAAGUAAGAAUUUUAAACAGAGCACUAGCAGCAACGUAUUAUACCCGGAUAAAAUAUGAAGGAAAAAUGCUUGGAGUUCAAGCUUUUAGCUACUGUCAAGAAUGAAGAACAGAACUUAGAAGUUUUUAGAAGGCAAAAAAAGAUGGAGCAUAUGGAAGAAAAUCUGAUGAUUUCAUUCAUUGAAACAUUGGCUUAAAGCCAUUACAUAUACCAGUCAUUUGGCUGGUCAAAAGAUUAACAAAUCCUUUACCUAAACACUACCUAACUCCACUAAUUACAUAGGGACUAGGUGAUUUUACUUGCAAACAUAAACAAAGAUGGUGAUCAGCUCUAUCACCAUCAAAUUACAUCAAACAUAAACUAAACUAAGUUCAAAAUGAACUAGAUUACAAAAGCAUAGUUAAACGGUAACAAAAUGUAACUGAGACGGAAAAGAAGUAUCAACCCCUUCAGUUGCAUGUAUUUUACUCGGGUAACUUGUGUGUAUGAAUUCUUGCACAUACUUUACCCGGAUAACAUAAGUGCAUUAAUUUUCACGUGCUUGAAUCUGCAUGGGCUGCAUGGGAACUAACUUCAACACUUAUGUUGCUCCUUUUCUUCAUCAAAUUGUCAACCAGUAUGGUUUGUUUUUUAUUUAUUUAUUUAAUCUUCAAUUUAUGAUAAUUCUUUGUUAUUUAUGUAUGGAAUUUAUUGGGAGGAAAUGCAGGAAAGAAUUCAUUUACGUGGUUUGGUCCAAGACCAAGGGUGAACAUUACUGACCCUGAAAAAAUAAGAGAAAUACUUAAACAAAUUUAAUGACUUCCAGAAGGUACAUACCAAUCCACUGCUUAAUUUGCUUGUAAGCGGCCUUGUUAACCUCGAAGGAGACCGAUGGAGCAAGCGUAGAAAAAUCAUAAACCCUGCAUUUCAUCAAGAUAAGUUGAAGGUAUAGAAUAGUGAUGGGUACUCAAGACUUUACAGAAAACAUCAUACUUAAACCUAUGCUUUUCUGAUUUAGAAAUAAUUGGGUGCAGAAUAUGUUGCCAGCAUUUUAUCAAAGUUGUAGUGACAUGUUAAGCAAAUGGGAGAAGAUGGUGUGUACAGAAGGAUACAGUGAGUUAGAUGUGUGGCCUUAUCUCGUAGAUUUGACAAGGGAUGUGAUUUCCCGAUCUGCUUUUGGAAGCAGCUUCGAAGAAGGCAAGCGAAUUUUCCAAUUACUAGGCGACCAACUCGUUCUCAGAAUCAAAUUAAUACAGAUUGUUUACAUUCCAGGAUGGAGGUAACCCUCAACUUAAUUUACUUGAAAAAGGUUGCAAAUGUUGGAAUUCGCUAAAAUCGUGUUUGUUUUCUUGAAGGUUUUUGCCAACAAAGACAAACAGGUAGAUGAAGAUGAAACAGAGACACAUAAAAGAGUCGCUUAGGGAAAUGAUAAAGAGAAGAGAGAAGGCAAUUAAAGCAAGGGAAGAGAGCAAUGAGGACUUGUUGGACAUACUUGUGGAAUCCAAUAUCAGAGAAAUGGAAGCAAAGAAUAUGGGGAUGAGCAUUGAGGACGUGAUUGAGGAAUGCAAGCUGUUUUACUUUGCUGGCCAAGAGACCACUUCAGUCUUACUGGUGUGGACUAUGGUUUUAUUAGCAAGGUAUGCCGAUUGGCAAAGUAAAGCAAGAGAGGAGGUUUUGCAUGUUUUGGGUGACAGUAAACCUGAUGUUGAUGGCCUUAAUCGUCUCAAAGUUGUAAGUCCCUAGCAUGUCUUUUGAAGGUCCGAUCAAUGAGGUCGACAACUCAAAAACUUGGUUUCUUUUUUCGCUAAUUCUACAGGUAACAAUGAUAUUGUACGAGGUUCUAAGGCUGUACCCAUCAGCGACUGAGCUAGGACGUUCCGUUCCAGAAGAAAUAAAACUGGGAAAUUUGUUGUUGCCAGCAGGAACAGAAGUUUCGGUUCCUAUCCUGCUGAUCCACCAUGACAAAGAUCUUUGGGGCGACGACGCACGGGAAUUUAAGCCAGAGCGGUUCGCGGAAGGGGUUUCCAAAGCAACAAAGAGUCAAGUCACGUUUCUGCCAUUCGGAUGGGGUCCUAGGAUUUGCAUUGGCCAAAAUUUUGCUAUGAUGGAAGCCAAAAUGGCAGUGGCUAUGAUUCUCCAACACUUCUGGUUCGAGCUUUCCCCUUCCUAUGCUCACACUCCUUGCAGCAUGGUAACGCUUCGUCCACAGCAUGGUGCACAGAUAAUUUUACAUAAACUUGGCUGUAAUUGAAUAGUUAUGUAAACAAAUUUUUGUGAAAAUAUAGCGUUUUAGUGUAUCGUCAAAGUCCGGUGUCUGUAAUGGUACAAUUCCGAUGCAUGAAUAGUAAAUUUUGAGAUGUUUGGUGAAGUCCGAAAUAAUAUGCAGAAAUUGAGUGUCUUGAAUGGAUGUAGUAUUUAAUGGUGGACAUAGUUGAGGGACUAAUGUGGUAAUUAUCAAACAAAUAAUUGCAUAUGGUACAAAGACUUGUAUGGAAAUUAGAGCUGGGGGAGUAGAAAAUGACUACUUUGCUUUGGGCAUCAAUUUAGAAAGAUUUAAAGUACAAAUGUAUUAUUAGUUUAAGGGAUUUGUUUUAAAGAAGGAAUGACAAUUAAACCUUAUGGUUGAUUUGUGGGAGGGAACCGAUGAUGGGAUAAUUACUCUUAGUGGUAAAAAAAAAAAACUAUUAAGGAGGAUAUUAUACUUGUUAUCACCGGCCAAAAUUCAAAUGGGUUUGGGUUGAAUUAUAUUGAGCUCGCAAGAUGAGUUCAUGGACCAAGCUUGCAUGAUAAUGGGUGUUCACAGAAAGGUAUCUAUAGUUUCCUGUAAAGUCACAUGUGAGAUCGUAUAUUGGGACCGCAUAAACAUGUUUUAUGUUUAGAAUAUGAUAUGUAUCUAUGUGCAUGGAAUCUACCUAGUAUAUUAUAUCAAUGAAUAGUAUCAAUUGCGGAGCCAAAAUUUUUUUUGAGAGGUCAGAAUUAAAUUGCAUAUUUUUACGAAAAUAAAAAUUCAAUUUCACUAUUUUAAUAGUUUAUUUCUUUUUAAUUUUUAAAUGAUUAAAUUAAAUUUUUAUAAAUUUUUAGGAGGUUGAAGUACAAUUAUAUCAUUACUAAUUUAAAAUUUUAUAAAUUAUAAAGGACUUAAAUGAAAAUUUUCCUAUUUUAAAGUGACUAUAAAUAAAUAAAUACCACCAUCUAAAAGACUUAAGAAAAACACUCAACAAUUGUUGAUAAAUAGAGAGAUGUUGGGUAAAUGUCCAAAAUAUGAUUUAAGUGAAGAUACGUGGGGUAGGCGUCAUGGAAAUGUAAAGACAAGAAUCCCACUAAUGUAUGGGAUGUGUACACUUGAAUGUAGGGAGCAAAGAGGAGCGAAUCAUUGUGGUAACAUUUGGACAAGAAACAUAAUGAACAAAAUGAAAGGAGAGGAAGCUAGUAAAAGAUUUUUUUGGGUCAUAUAAUUUGUUUGGUAUAUAUUUUUUUAAUUUUUAAAUAUCAUUUUAGAGUUGAAUUAUAUUUUCUUUUUAUGUUUUAAAACAUAAUUAUUCUAUUUUUAGAGGGUCAAAGUAGAGGUGAGCAUUGGUCGGGCUAUCCGGCCCGGCCUAAAGAUCUACUAGAAAUGUGAGAGGUUUGAAUAAAAAUAUAGGCCCGAAAAAUGGGUUUGGACAAAAAAUAUAAGGUUCGUUUAGAAAACGGGCCGAGCCUUGAGUAAGGCAUUUUUGACCUCGGGCCUAGCCCUGCCUGAAUUCACUAAAAGACAAAAAAAAUUAAUUUUUUAAUAUUAUUUUCUUGUUAUUUUCUCCCUAUUUUGCUAUCAUUUUACUAUUAUUUUGCUACUAUUUUGUUGUUAUUAUUUGGAUAUUAUAUAAAACUUAUUUUAUUGUUAAUUUUGUUAUUAUUUUAGAGACAUUUACUUGUUAAGUUGCAUCUAUCUUAGUGUUAUUUAAGUAUACAUAUUUUUUAAAAUUUAUUUUCAAUUUGUUGAGAAAUAUUUAUUUUGAUAUUUUGAGUAUUUUGGAUGUAUUAUAUAUAUUUUAAAAUUAUAUAAAAAUUAAUAUGGGCAGGCUGGGUCGAGUCCGAGUUUUAGCAUCUUUAUUUGGGUUGGGUUUGGACAAAAUUUUAAGCCCAUUUUUCAGGCUGAGCCUAACAAAUGAUUCUAAAUUUUUAGUUGAGCUCUCAGCCCGGCCUAUGCUCAUAUCUAGUUCAGAGCUGCCCUCACUUUGUAUUUCUUUGAAAUUCAGUCUUAUCUACUGUUGAUUGCCUACUCAAUUGAGGGUUGAGUAGAAAAAUUUGGCGAAGCAAGCAAAGCUAUCAAUCAAGGUUGGAGAAAGCUUAGGAGGUCACAAUGCAUAAUUAUUUAAAUGUAAUUCUAAUAUUUAAAUCAAAUUUAUUAAUAUAGUAUUAACAAGCCUUAAAUGUAAUGAUCAUAUACUAUUACAUUUUCAGGAAGAGAAAAUAUGUUUAAACUUUAAAAAUAACGUAAUUAAAAAUGAUAAUCAUAAAUCUUAAAACAUAAAAAAUAUAAUUAAAAAUUAAUUUUAAACCCUGGAUAAAAUUCUAGUUUUAGAUAAUGAUACUAAUAACAAAUCAAUAUUUAAAUUAAAAUUAAUAUUAAUUUAAUAUAAUUUUUGAGUCUUCAGCAAAGGCACUCAAUGAAUGCUUGGAAAGAAAUAAUGCAACUUGGUGAUAACUUUGUUGGAGUUAUAUGGUCUUAUUAUAGUUUUAUGUUUUUAUGUUGCAGAAAAAACAUAUUGGAAUUUUUCGUGGACUUUCAAGUUUCAUGAUCUUUUCUUAAUACUUUAUGUGAAAAAAAAUAAUGGGAUUUAAAAAUCUAUCAAAAAGCUUCUGUUGUAGGCCAAUUUUGGCUCAAAUACAACCCAAUUAUUCAAACCCCUUAAAACCCAAUACAAAAUAGCCCAACUACUAACCCUAGCCCAGACCAAUAAUAAAAAAUAGCAAAGAAAAAAAGAACCCUGGCCACCCCGUGAUGUUUGCCACCCCACGCCUCUGCAGCACCAUUCCCAGGCAUCACACACUCUCACCAACUCCUCCAUACCCUGCAAAAUGAGACAAACACCAAGACAGAAGCUGACAACACAAGAGCAGUAGCAAGAGGCUUAAAAUAUCGUUUUGAAAUGGCUAUAAGAGGGAGAUCCGAUUGUAAAAAUUGGGGGGGAUUCAAUAUGCAAAAAUUGUAUCACGAAUUUUGGCAAAUCAAAAGCAAAAAAAAAGCACAUAAAAAAGGUUGAAUUUUAUUUCCUUUUUUUGUUUCUUUAUUUUUUAUUUUCCUUUUUUUCUUCAAAAAAUCAGUUUUAAAACAAAAAAAAUAAAAAAAAGAAGAAAGGGGAUUUACCUGAACUUCGGAGCCGCGACAUCGGAGCCCUACUCCGUCGUUGAAAUCGGCUCUCAAAAAGGAAAAUGGGGGUCUCUCCCUUCAGAUUUUCGGGCUAAGAAAAUAGGGCCUUCAGGCGCCCCCAAAAUCGGGGUCAAAAGCCCCCAUUCAAGCAACCCCGACCACCACUUACGGUGGCUCCAUGGCGGCGGCAAUGAUGGGUAUAAACCCUAGCAAAAGGGGAAAUGAGGGAGAGAGAGCCAAGAAACUCUCUGUUUUUUUUGCUUUUCAAAAUGGGGGCUGGAAACACAAAAUAAAAAAAAGGGUUUUAAGUUAUUUGAAAAAAAAGGGCUGCACUUUAACUCGUUUAACAGGCCUAAUAUGUGCCUUUUAAUUGAAAGUGAGGGAAUUAUACAUUAGGUCCUUCUCAUUUGCGCAAACAUUCAAUCAUGCCACAUUUAUUUCACUUCCUUUUUAAUUUGGCUUUAAAACUUACGCAUAUUAGCAAUUCGGUCCCAUUUCUUUUUAUUUUAUUAUUUUCACCCCGAAUUUCUGUCUAGAGUUCAAAUUAGCCCCUUUUCGUCCUUUUCUUUUCUUUUAUAUUUUAUUUUAUUAUUUGAUAUUAUGGUAUUAUAAUUGUAUUUUAUUUUCUUGCAUAUUAUUUGCUAUUAUUAUUAUCACCUUCAUUCCAUUAUUAUUAUUGCUAUUGCUAAGUUUUUUGUUGUUUAUAUUUUUAUUUAUAUUAUUAGUAUAUUGUUAUUCCUUAGUUUAUUAUUAUUAUAUCAUUUUUUAUGUAUUUAUCUACAUUAUUAUUAUUAUUAUUAUUUUUGAACACAUCAUGCAUUUUAAAUUAUUACCAAUUUUAAAUAUUUUAUAUAUAUCAUUAUGUAGUAUUUAUUUUUAGAUUCUUAUACGUAUCUUGGUAUUUUAGAUUAUUACAUGUAUACCUAUAUAUAUAUAUCUUUUAUUUUAAACAUUUUUCUAUGCAUUAUCUUACAUCAAAUUUCUUUUUUUUCACGUUAUUCUUUCUAAAUAUUUUAUAUGUCAUUUGAACUAAAUUCUAUUUUUAAAAUUUUUAUAUAUUACUUAGUUACAUUAUUUUAUAUGAAAAUUAUUUUGAACUCUUUUAUUAUUUAUUGUAAACCUUUAUUAUUGUUAAUUUUAAGACUAUAUAGGUAUUUAUUAAAAAAAAUUCAUAAAUAUUAUUUUGGAUUUAUAUAUAUUUUUAUUUUUGAACAAUAUUUAUUUUAAAAUUUUCUUUUACACAUUUUAAGCUCUUUGGUAAAUUAUUUUAAAGUGUUCUUGUUAUUUUUUUUUGUAUUAUUCAUCUUAUUUCAUUUAACAUAUUGUUUAUUUGAAGUUUGCUUUAUAUAGGUUACUUUAUUUUAUGCCCAAAAUAUUAUAUAUAUUAAUUAUUAUAAAUUGUUUUAUAUUCUUUACUUUAAAUUGCCUUUUCAUUUUAAAAUUGUUUUAUGUAUUAUUUAUUUAAAACUGUCUUAUUAUUUUGAAUUGUUUUAUGCCCCAUUUUUUAGAGCUCAAUUUAUUUAUUUUUAUUUAUCACCCAUUAUACGUUAUUUCCUUAUACUAUUACAUAUUUUAUACUUAUAUAUACAUAUAUAUGUGUAUGCAUCAUUUGAUCUAAAAUUUUUGUAAAUAAAUGUAUCAUCUUUCCUUAAAUCAUUUUAUAUAUUUUAAAUAUCCAUUUUUCACUUUAUUUACUUUUAAAACUUAGUUAUGAUCAUGUUAAAUAGUUUUUAUAUCUUAUUCGUUUUAAUUGGCUUUAUACUAUAUAUUUUUAUAUUAUCACAUAUGUUAUUUCAUUUAUUUGUUUAUUUAUUUUUUUUCUCCUUGAUUACUAAUAUUAACAUUUAAAUAAUGCAUGUUGAGUGAUUAUUGUUAUUGCGUGUACCUUAAUUCAUUCACUUGCGUAUUUAUAUUUGUCGUACAUUUGUGAUGUUAUUCUUGUAUUAUUAUUUCAUGGUCUAUACUCCCUUUCAUUUUGUUUCGUUUAAAUCAUAUCGUGCAUCUACCUCAAAUGUAUUUGUCCAAACAUGGACCGUUUUAAUCCAAACAAAUGAUACACGUCGCUUAAGUAUCACACUUGCUAUGGUUUUUAAAAACAAAAAUUUCAAAAUGAGGCAAUGUUUCGCGUUUUAGAACAUCGAGAAAUUGUGCCCUAACUUAUGGGGUUUCGGUUUUCUCGUUGGUUCUAAAUGUCAAAGUAUCCUUUUGAGUUUUAAAAUACACGAAAUUUUAAUUAAAAUUAAAGAUACACCUAUGCUCGAGAAUUCAUGGUAUGGUGUCCUAACUUACGGGAUGUGAUGCUCCGAUAUCUUGAGAUAAGGAAAUCUUUAAACAAAUUGUUUUGAGCUAAUUCAAAAAUUUUAAAAUUGAUAUUGAUAGAAAAGAUCAUAUUUCAAAUUCAUUCCCGAUUUUUGAUUUUCGACAUUAAGACACUAACUAAUCAAUUCGGUACUAAUUUUUGGGCGUGUCGGGGGCGCUAAUCCUUCCUCGCACAUAACCGACUCCCAAAUUUGUUCUCUUGGAAUUCGUAGACCAAAAUGCCGUUUUACUAAACUAAAAUUGUUAAAACAAAGGUGAUCCGAUCACACCAAAUAAAGAUCGGUGGCGACUUUCGUUUUAAUUUUUGUUUCCAAACAAAGUCGACCCCAUCCUUCAAAAAUCGGUUUCGACAGCUUCACUAUAAUAAUAAUAAUAAUAAUAAAUUGUUACAAUAUUACAACACAAAGUUACAAUAAGAGUUUAUAACUCAACAAAGGCUAUUAAUAAAUAAUCUCACACAAGCUAAAGAAAAAUGUUGAGAAUACCACUCAAAUAGUGACUGACUUUAAAAGUUGAAAACCCGAAGCUAUAGUAUCUCAAACGAAAUCAAACCAUAAACAUUAAAAUUUUUCGAGUCUACCAGCUACUGUAAAAAAUUCAGCUCCAACAGACACCAAAUGAGCCUUUGAUCGAAGAAAAUAUGAAAAUUAGUUUGGGUAUACCAAGCUGCCAAACUUACUUAUCUUAUCUUUAAUUUACAGUGAAAUUCAAAACUAAAGUUUUUGUUUAUUUCACUUAAAAUAACUUUCAAAAAAUUAUUUUUGAAAAAUGGAUUGGUUUUUCGAAAUAGAUGAUAUUUUAUUGUGUUAGAAUAUUAUUCGUUGUUUGAAAACUUUUUUUAAAUCAUUUUCUUAGAGUUAUUUUUAGUGAAACAAACAUAACAUAAAUAUAUUUGUUACAAAAAAUUAUAUUAGUAUUUUCUUUUGACAAUUAAAAUUUAUUUUAUGAUAAGACAAUAUUUUAUAAUAGUUAAUAUCAUAUAUAUAUACACGUAAUAAUAAAUUAUGUUUAAUUAAAAAUUAAUUUAAAUUAAAUAUAUUAAUAAAGCUACAUAUAAUCAUAUUUUAUAUAAUUAAAAUAUUAAUAUAAAUAUUUUUUAAUAAUAUAUUAAAAAUAUUAAAAAUUUAAAAUUAUUAUUACUAAAAUUAAUUAUUAAAAUAAAAAAUGUAAUAUUAAAUAAUUUAUUCAAUGAUAAGUACUUAUAUUAAUAAUUUAUCGUAUUAUUAAAUAUAAAUAAUUAAAUAUGUAUGUUUAAUCAUAUUACGUUAUAAUAUUUUAAUAUUCUUAAAACAGUUUUAAAGAUGCUGGUGAUGGUGAUGCUGCAGGCCCUUCUUGUUAAUUUUUAGUGCAAUAAUUGAAGUUGUAGGGUGUGGUCAAGCAAACCUCUUUUGACUGAAAUGCAUGUGAUAUACCGGUAAGUGGCGUAUCUAGAGGGGGACUGGCGUUGCCCUCGCCCCCUCCUCCCCACCCCCCCCCCCCCCCCAAAAAAAAUUGAAAUUGUUAUUUAAAUUUUUUCAAAAAUUUUAAAUUAAUAAAAGUAACAUUAUACUUUAUCCUCUAAAAUUAUAAAAAUUCUAUUUAAUCCUUUAAAAAUUAUAAAUAUAUAGACUAUAAAAAAUUAAAAUUUCAUUCGACCCCCCUAAAAUAUUGUUCUGGCUUCGCCCUUGAUACCGAUGUUGAAUAUUUUAGAGUAUAUGUCUUCUUUAACAAGGUUAAAUUAUAUAUUUGUAUAAUAUAGUUAUUGUUCAUGGACGUGACAUCGUAACUAGGUUCUUAUGCAUGUUAACAUAUAUCCUAUUUUAGGGUUAACAUGUAUUUUUUAAAUGUGAAUUCAUCUGUAUAAUGAUAUGAACCCAUCACGCGAUCUCAUAAAAUAUGCGAAUAUAUGUCAUGCGAACACAAAAUACAAACCACACACAAUACAUAUCAAGACCCAAUUGUGUAAUUGGAUACGGAUCAGUAAUAAUGAAUUUUCAUAACAGCCACCAUCCCCUCUUUUUUUUCUAAUUUAUUUUAUUUCCAGUGAGUUAUUAUUUAUGAUAAUUCACAACAAAUGUUUUUGUCAUUAUUUUGUUGGUAAAUAAUAAUAAGAUUAAACUUUACUUUCUUAAGCUCCUUCAAUUCUUUGGACGUUGGUGGUUUUUAUUCUAAUCUUAUUUUCUUAUUAAUUUCUUUUUUAUACAUGUAUGGUAUUAACAUUAUAUCAAUUAAAAUUUAUUCGACUGAAAAUAUAAAUUUAAAAUUGUACUUCAAUUUAUCUUAAUUUAUAAAUGAUGAAUUUAAAUUUAUUUUUUUCCUCUCAUUAUAUUUUUCCGGAUAAUAUUUGGCCCUAGAACAAAAACUAAAACAAUAAAACAAAUAUAUAUGUUUUCCAAAAAUUAAAUUGUCAACUUUAAAAAUAUAUAUUUUUAGCUAUUUAUCAUCAUAGAGAAAAAAAAAAAAAAGGUCACCUAGCCUCAUGCUUCAACACCUCAACCUAGAUUCUCAUCACCUGUAUUUAUCAUUGAUUCAGAUUUUUAUUUUUACUAUAUUCAAGAACUACCUAUAACUAUAUCUUCAAACUUCCUCUGGUUAAGUUCAUUCAUAGAUAGGUGAGUAAACUUGAGCUUCAGCUUCAACAAACACCAUAGUUUGAAGACACAAUUCUCUCAUACUAAAAAUAUGGAAGUUUACCAUGUAAUUAGAGAUUUGGUCUCAUUGCUUGUUGUUGGGUUAUUAAUGAUAUGGGGAUGGAGAGCUUUAAACUGGGUAUGGUUGGCCCCAAAGAGGCUCGAACGGUGCUUGAGACAACAGGGUUUUGCAGGGAAUCCUUACAGGUUCCUUUCUGGUGACAUAAAAGAGCUCUCAACUAUGAGCAGACAAACAAGAGCCAAACCUAUGCCUCUUAGUGAUGAUAUUGGGCCUUAUGUUGCUCCUUUUCUUCAUCAAACUGUCAACCAGUAUGGUAUGUUUUUUAUUAUUUAAUCUUCAAUUUAUGAUAAUUCUUUGUUAUUUAUGUAUGGAAUUUAUUGGGAGGAAAUGCAGGAAAGAAUUCAUUUACGUGGAUUGGUCCAAGACAAAGGGUGAACAUUAUGGACCCUGAAAAACUAAGAGAAAUAUUUACCAAAUUUAAUGACUUCCAGAAGAUACGUACCAAUCCACUGCUUACUUUGCUUGUAAGCGGCCUUGUUAACCUCGAAGGAGACCGAUGGAGCAAGCAUAGAAAAAUCAUAAACCCUUCAUUUCAUCAAGAUAAGUUGAAGGUAUAGAAUAGUUAUGGGUACUCAGACUUUACAGAAAAUAUCAUACUUAAACCUAUGCAUUUCUGAUUUAGAAAUGAUUGGGUGCAGAAUAUGUUGCCAGCAUUUUAUCAAAGUUGUAGUGACAUGUUAAGCAAAUGGGAGAAGAUGGUGUGUACAGAAGGAUACAGUGAGUUAGAUGUGUGGCCUUAUCUCGUAGAUUUGACAAGAGAUGUGCUUUCCCGAUCUGCUUUUGGAAGCAGCUUCGAAGAAGGCAGACGAAUUUUCCAAUUACUAGACGACCAACUCGUUCUCAGAAUCAAAUUACUACAAACUGUUUACAUUCCAGGAUGGAGGUAACCCUCAACUUAAUUUACUUGAAAAAGGUUGCAAAUAUUGGAAUUGGCUAAAUUCGUGUUCGUUUUCUUGAAGGUUUUUUCCCACAAAGACAAACAGGGAGGUGAAGAUGAAACACAAAGACAUAAAAGAGUUGCUUAGGGAAAUGAUAAACAGAAGAGAGAAGGCAAUUAAAGCAGGGGAAAAGAGCAAUGAGGACUUGUUGGACAUACUUGUGGAAUCCAAUAUCAGAGAAAUGGAAGCAAAGAAUAUGAGGAUGAGCAUUGAGGAUGUGAUUGAGGAAUGCAAGCUGUUUUACUUUGCUGGCCAAGAGACCACUUCGGUCUUACUGGUGUGGACUAUGGUUUUAUUAGCAAGGUAUCCCGAUUGGCAAAGUAAAGCAAGAGAGGAGGUUUUGCAUGUUUUGGGUGACAGUAAAC